UGAGUUCUUUAGCAGACAUUUUUGCUUCUAAUAAUAGAAUUCUUACUCGAAUACAUAGGGACUGGCAGAGUGAGCAUGAAAGAUGGCACCAACUCUACCUUGGACCUUUUGAUGGGAUUCUUAGUAGCAGCUUGACCUGUCAGAGUUGCUCAUCCCAGAUCUCAAUUAACUUGGAACAAUUUGAUUGUUUGCCUCUUUCACCUGUACUUAGUGGUUCCACCCUGAUAUUUGGAUGUGCACUGCUGGAUUGCCUAAAGCAAUUCAUUGUUGCUGAGCAUGUUGAGAACUAUCACUGCCACUACUGUUGGCAUAAUGCUACGAUCAAGUAUCUUUCAUUAAUGGAAUGAAAUGAGGUA